UACAGAGGUCUCGAGCGUUAGGCGGAAUCACUGGGCUUAAAGCGUGUGUAGGCGGACUGGUAAGUACCUUGUGAAAUCCCACGGCUCAACCGUGGAACUGCUUGGUAUACUGCUUGUCUUGUGCAACCUAGGGGCGAGCGGAACAGAUGGUGGAGCGGUGAAAUGCGUAGAUAUCAUCUGGAACGCCAAUGGUGAAAACAGCUCGCUGGGGGUUUGCAGACGUUGAGACACGAAAGCCAGGGGAGCAAACGGG
rnacentral:rRNA from 1 species